rnacentral:tRNA from 2 species
GCCCAGAUAGCUCAGUCGGUAGAGCAGGGGACUGAAAAUCCCCGUGUCGGUGGUUCGAUCCCGCCUCUGGGCA